AGAGAGAGUUCAAGAGUACGUGAAACCGUUCAGGGGUAAACCUGAGAAACCCAAAAGAUCGAAUGGGGAGAUUCAUCGUCAAUAUGUUUAAUAUUAAUAUAUAUUAUGAUAUUUUAAAUUUUUUAAUUUUAUAUUAUUAAAUUUUUUAUACAUAUAUAUAUUAUUUUAUUGUUUUACAUUGUCGGCGUGCACUUCUCCCCUAGUAGGACAUCGCGACCCGUUAGAUGUUGGUUUACGACCAAAUUGGGUAGCCUUUAUAUAUUUUUAUUAAUAUUAAAGACCAAAUUGUGUUUUCUAACCAAGUAUUUGACGGUAAUCGUAUGGUAUUAAGUCGCAUUUUAAUAUAUUUUUGCGUUCUCUACCCGUCGCAAGCGAGGCCUUUUUUAUUAGUUUACAGACUUUGUGCUGUCUAUUAAAAAUUUGGCCAGCUGUUGGCUGUUUACGGUGUUCUAGAACUGACUUAUUUAAAAAAAAUACCUGUCGGCGAUGCUAUUGCUUUGGGUACUUUCAGGACCCGUCUUGAAACACGGACCAAGGAGUCUAACAUGUAUGCAAGUCAUUGGGAUUAUUUUUCAUUUAUGAAAAAUAAAUAUAAUUAAACCUAAAGGCGUAAUGAAAGUAAAAAAUUAUACUUGUAUAAUUAAUGGGAAGAUGAUUUAUAUUACGAUAUAAAUUCGCAUUCCCGGGGCAUCUCAUUUUUAUAUAAUUUCGGUUAUAUAAAAAGAGGUGCACCUAGAGCAUACAC
rnacentral:rRNA from 1 species